GAGACUGUCUCAAAAAACAAAACGAAACAAAACAAAAAACCAAAAACCAAAACAAAUUCUGUUUUGUUUUUAUAUCGUGUUUCUACAUCUAAACAUGCUACUAGGUUGUGCUUCAUGAUAUGAAUGUAUAAAUUCAAGAUCAUGAAACUCUCAUUGGUGCAGACAUAUACAACACAGAACUGCAAACUCACCACAGAUGCUCCCACGCCUGUCCCUGAAAGCACCAUGGCAAGCCUCAGCCCAUUCCUCUCCCUCGUGCUGCAGAUGAGAAAGCUGAAGUCCAGAGGCGUGAAAGGUGUUGGUGAAGGUGACUCAGUGAGCUGACGGCAUCACAGAAUGCAGGAAACUGUGGUAGUCUGGUGGUGGAGGGGGGCGGAGUACUAUGACACUAGCUGUAACCACAGCAGCUCACAUUCAUCCUGGGCCUAGGACAGCACAGGAACAAUUCUAGACUCUUCAUGUGUUUUAGUUCAUGGAACCCUCACCAGAACCCUGAAGAGUAAAGCCACCAGCGUUUAGGAAAUACCAGAGGCCCGCCUCUUGGAGAGGUCAAGGAGCAGGAGAAACACUUCUGGGCCAUCCUUCACCCAAGGUCUACUACGCAUUUGCUGGACUACAGAGUUGGGCCAGAACUUGACACUGGUACUCAAUAACUACUUGUUGAAUGAGCCAAUUGAUGGAUGGGAAAAAUCAACGGAAGCAGUAGUUCCCAAAGUGUCGUCUAGACCAGCAGCCUCAGCAUCACCAAGGAACUGGUCAGGAAAGCAAAUUCUCAGGCCGUACCCCAGGUCUACUGCAGCACAGAUAUGGUAGGUGGGGCGAGCCAGGACGUCAUAGCAGAGGCUGUCUUGGUGGAAAGGGAGGGAUGGACUGAGCCAGUCUUUUGAGAGGUAAAAUACAUAGCACUCAGCAAAGGAAGAGUCUGGGGAGACUUGCUGAUGUGGGGCUUUGGUAACUGGCUGAAUUGUGGGUAUGGGAAUACAGGAACAGGUUUGGACAGGGUUGGGGAAAGAGAGAGAUCAGAGAUGAUACAUUCAAUUAGUACAUGAUAAUAAAGUUUGUUUCUUUGAUUUAAAAGGCAGUCUAGAAAAAUUCCCAGAGACCUGUCUUAGGAUCCACUUAAAAAUCAGAAAAUCAGCAGAGGACACAGAGGUUGAGGAAAGAUAACUUAGGUUUGUCACACUUUUACUUUAUUUUAUUUUUUUUAGACGGAGUCUCGCUCUGUUGCCAGACUGGAGUGCAGUGGCGUAA
rnacentral:lncRNA from 1 species